rnacentral:rRNA from 1 species
AUUGAACGCUGGCGGCAGGCCUAACACAUGCAAGUCGAACGAGUGGCGGACGGGUGAGUCAUGUCUGGGAAACUGCCUGAUGGAGGGGGAUAACUACUGGAAACGGUAGCUAAUACCGCAUACCAUCAGAUGUGCCCAGAUGGGGUUAGCUAGUUGGUGGGGUAACGGCUCCCCAAGGCGAAGAUCCGUAGCUGGUCUGAGAGGAUGACAAGCGACACUGGAACUGAGACACGGACCAGAGGACUACGGGAGGCAGCAGUGGGGAAUAUUGCACAAUGGGCGCAAGCCUGAUGCAGCGAUCCCGAGUGUAUGAAGAAGGCCUUCGGGUUGUAAAGUACUUUCAGCGGGGAGGCGUUACCCGCAGAAGAAGCACCGGCUAACUCCGUGCCAGCAGCCGCGGUAAUAC